rnacentral:rRNA from 1 species
AUUGAACGCUGGCGGCAUGCCUUACACAUGCAAGUCGAACGGCAUCGCGGGAACGCUUGCUUUCCUGGCGGCGAGUGGCGAACGGGUGAGUAACACAUCGGAACGUACCGGCUAGAGGGGGAUAACCCGUCGACAGACGGGCCAAUACCGCAUACGCUCUACGGAGGAAAGCAGAGGACCUUUGGGCCUUGCGCCAGUCGAGCGGCCGAUGGCCGAUUAGCUAGUUGGUGGGGUAAAGGCCUACCAAGGCGACGAUCGGUAGCGGGUCUGAGAGGACGAUCAGCCACACUGGGACUGAGACACGGCCCAGACUCCUACGGGAGGCAGCAGUGGGGAAUCUUGGACAAUGGGGGCAAGCCUGAUCCAGCAAUGCCGCGUGGGUGAAGAAGGCCUUCGGGUUGUAAAGCCCUUUCGGAAGGGAAGAAAUCGGCGGGGUGAAUAACCCUGCGUGAUGACGGUACCUGAAGAAGAAGCACCGGCUAACUACGUG